GAUGAACGCUAGCGACAGGCCUAACACAUGCAAGUCGAGGGGCAGCACAUGAGUAGCAAUACGAUGGUGGCGACCGGCGCACGGGUGAGUAACACGUAUGCAACCUACCGGUAAAAGGGGGAUAGCCUCUCGAAAGAGAGAUUAAUACCGCAUAAUAUAUAGUUAUCGCAUGAUAAUUAUAUUAAACAUUUAUGGAUUACCGAUGGGCAUGCGUAUGAUUAGCUAGUUGGUGAGGUAACGGCUCACCAAGGCAACGAUCAUUAGGGGUUCUGAGAGGAAGGUCCCCCACACUGGUACUGAGACACGGACCAGACUCCUACGGGAGCAGCAGUGAGGAAUAUUGGUCAAUGGGCGCGAGCCUGAACCAGCCAAGUCGCGUGAAGGAUGAAGGUGCUAUGCAUUGUAAACUUCUUUUGUAAGGGAAUAAAAAGUAGUACGUGUACUAUAUUGUAUGUACUUUACGAAUAAGGAUCGGCUAACU
rnacentral:rRNA from 1 species